AACCAUGGCCAAACCUCUGUGUCAAAGUCUAAUCUCAUCAAAUCUCAGAAGCUAAGCAGGGCCUGGCCUGGUUAGUACUUGGAUGGAAGACCACUGGGAAAAUCAGGUACCAGAGUGU
rnacentral:rRNA from 1 species